rnacentral:lncRNA from 1 species
UUUUUUUUUUUUUUUUUUUUUGCAGAAUUCAGAUUUGAUUUGUAGAGCCCCCUCCGAAAGCAUUACAUAAAUAAAUUUUUUUUUUUUUUAGAAAAGUUCAACCAAUAAAGGGUUAUUGGUCGAAUUACAUAAUCAAAACGUCAGUUUCUUUUUUUUUUGUUAUCUUUUUCCAAGCAAAUCAGUUCCAUCUGUGGAUUGGCAUUUGGCAUGCUGAGCAUUGAGCACUAUGAAUCGCCCAAAAGAAGGACGGCGCGCGCUUCAGAAAAAAGGAAUGCCGCGUAGGUGAUACAAAGAACUUUGACAAGAUCUGCUGCAGAUUCCGAUUUUAAAAUUGAGGUCCGUUCGAAAACGACGGGAUGAGCGUCCCCGUGCCUGGACGCGAGCCAGGUUUUUAUUCUUUUAUUCUUUUUUUUAAAAAAAAAAUUAUUUGAGAUAAAUUUUUUUUAAAAAAAACACACUACUGUGUCACUUUUUAAAUAUAAUGUUCGUGAAAUUAAAAAAUAUAUUGAUGAUACAAAUAAAUAAAUUUUUACAAAUUGUGCGAAGAAGUUAUUUACAGUGUGAGUGAGCUUUUUUAUUUGGUUAAAUCCGGUAAAAAAAAAAAGCGCACAUUGAAUUCGAUUGUCAAGAUCUCACUUAAUUAUAUUCACGAACUAAUUUUCAAGUGCAAUCUUUUUGUUAAUUUUUCUAAUAUUGUCAUUAUUGCCUUUUAAUCCCAGGACUUUGGAUUAAAUCAUUCAUGCGAGUUAUUUUUUAAAAAACAUAGGAGGCGUCGUAGGAUUUAAGGUUAUUUUUUUCUUGGCGCAAAAUAGAAGUAAAAGCUUGCAUGAUGUGCAUGCACGAGGCGAGCAUAAGAAACUCAAAAAAAAAAAAAAGAAGUUCGUGGGGUCGCAUCGCAUAGGGCCCCGAAGGAUGGUUGGAUCACAAAUGUGGAGUGGACUUGCUACAUUCUUCAUUCCAGCAAUUGAACUUAGAUUUGAAUUUAAAGGCAGGCAGAGCCAGAGACAGCUCCCCACCUGUGCGGUCGGUGGGGCACGUGACUGCAAUUCUUGACUCGUGAUAGCGAAGACAAUUGAAAAGUCGUUAUAGAUGUCUCAACAUCCUAGAUUUCAUCCAUCAGGUCUUGCGUUAAAAGUUUUACUACGAGAGAAAGAGCCUGACCAUGGGUUGGCAAUUAUUUUUAGGACAGCUUAGUUUGGCUACCAGAUUAGCGCUGCUAUUUGGAGGUUGAACGAGUCACCGCCAUGCCAAUGAAGCAUGCAAGUGAAACAAUCCCAUCAACACACAGAAUUUUUCGAGAAACUUCUGUGAUGUUGCUUUGACAUUGACGUACUGUGAUAUAUAUAGUUUUCUGAUGAGGGUGUGUUUGGAUUGCCUUUGAAAAAUUGUUACGUUUUUUAUUUAAUAUAUUUUUUUAUUUCAUAUUUAUUAAAUUGUUAUAAUAAUCUUUUUAUAAAAAAGUCCACAAAAAUACAAUUCAAACAAAGCUACUUAAAGAGACUGGAUGGAAAAUUGUUGUCUAAAGGUACUAUUUUAUAUAUCACAAUAUGUGAACUUUGGUCGCUAUAAAUAAAAAAUACAGUAUAUGUUGAUUAGUACAUUUGAAUUGUAUCUAUUUUAUUAUUUAUUAACAAUUAUUAUUCUAUUUUAUUCUUAUGCACUUCACUCGUCUAACUUUACUUUUUCUAUACACUGACACUUGAACCCAUCUGACAUUCAUAUCGUAUGAAUAUUACGCCACCAAGCUCAUGCGUAGCGUCAAACCAACUACUUUGGCUAAUAUUCAAUGGUUUUGAUUGGCUGAAUUUCUUGCGGACAAAAAAUAUAAAUUCCAGAAAAUACAAGGGUUCUUCGGACUACUAACAAAGCCAAUCUAAGUAUAUUAAUUUUGGAUAACAAAACAAUAUUAGUGUUCUUGAUAACACAACGGAUAGACAAAAUUUGCCAAUGAAUCCUAGUCAGGAAAUAUUUUUUUCUCAAAAAAUACCCUUCAUGGAGGGAAAAAGCCCGCUCUUGCUAGUGUAUUUUUGUCUCUUCAUUUUUUUUGCUUCAGUCUUGCAUGUUUCACUUCUAAUUCUUCAUACUCCCUUUGUAAAUAUUUUAGCUUCUUUUUUUUUUUUUCAGAAUUCUUGAUUAUAGUAUAGCAUAAAUUUCUCUUCCAUUGUCUCAAAGUUCGAGGUCUAUCCACUUAAAAUAACCACGUGUUUAAUGAUUCCAUAACAAAGCAAAGCAUAAAUUUUUUAAAAUUAUUUUAUCUAAAAGUUAAAAAAGACAUUAAUUUAUCAUACAAAUCAUACCUUAUAAUUUGAACAUCCAAGAAAUUUCUUGGUGUCCAUGGCCUUCUUAAGGUGCUAAUUGACCGCAUCCACAAGUUUCUUAAUUUGGUUCUGAUAGAUGCUAUGACGAAUAACAUCUAAAAGAAACACAACAAAAUGAAUUUGAAAACAUCUGGGACUUUUUUCCCCCUUUUUUGCUGCAAAUAUAUAAGACUUGAAAGUUUAAAAGCUUUUUUUGUUGAAUGAUGAAAUUAUAACAGAAAUAUUUUUGGUCUUGGGAGGAGACUUUUCUUUAUAUACAAUAGAUAGGGGCAUUUUCGUCAAAAAAAUUGAACAUUUUAAAUGGGUCAUUUUCAUCUACCAUGAUAUUUUAACGGGUCGUUUGCUGAGCUGGAUUGUAUAGGAUAAAAGUGCCAAAAAAUACUACUCCCUAUAAGGGGAUUUUAAGGGUAUUUUUCGUGAUUUUCCCUAUAAUUUGUAGCGUUCGUAAAAUACUUGCUACUUGUAUUAUCCGUAUCUUUAUCCUUAUACCAUCACAAGCGCUAUUAGUAAUUACUGCUCUCAAGUCUUCUCCGGCCCUGACAACCGCCGGAAACUUGACGGAAACAAUUUGAAUCUAUUUCUAGGGCCUUGGUUACCUCCGAAAUCUUCCUGAAGACAUCGGAUACAAAUUCUUACAGCAUUAUACUUCUUCGUUUUCCCAGGUACGCUCCCCCCCCCCCCUUUCCUCCUGUCUCUCAUAAAAGUAGUUAUUUGAACAAUGCAUUUCUUCUGUUUGGAGUGGUUUCGUCAUUAAAUUCUGCAAUUAAUUAUGAUUUUCCCUUUUUCCCCUGCACCUCCAUUUGGAACGUAAGAGUUGUUAGCAUUGCCAAAAAUUCACGCUUCCAUGUCGGUGAUUUUAAUUGCGCCAAAUUUCAUAUUGUUUUCAGGUUAUGAGUAACUGCAAUACUAGGUUGCUUAGCCUAAAAUCACGCUCGUCAUGAUACCCCUUUGUUGUACUUAAUACAUUUUCUAAUAGCAUCUAUUGCCCGUCAAAGAACGUCCCUUUCAAUAUGCUGUACUACUAAUUGAAAAAGAAAAUGUCAACAGUAGAACUUCUCAAGUACUGUUAAGCUCAUUCGUUUAGCUAUAUGCCUGGUUUUCUAUUAACUAAAAAUUGCUUAGGGGAGAGGAAGGGGAAGAAGCCUGGAGGAAUGGGGGCAUACUUUUUCUGAUCGUCAUUUUGAACUUGUUCACUUUGCAUUUUCAUAAAAGUUAAUGCAGCUGAACUUGUUGAUAUCAAACACACGACCAUCCCGUAAAUACAGUGUAAAGUAAUGUCCAUCUGUUUAAUAGCGCAAGACUGAUUUCUUUUGUUUGGGCGGUUAUUUUUUCAAUAGCGUUUUUUUUAUUGAUUCAGUGCCCAUCUUGAAUCAGUUUCAUCAAUAUGUCUAUCGAACAAAAAAGUUUCAUCAAUAAAACGACUUGCUUAUUCAAGAUCGCAGUUCUUUUUGAUAGGUUACUUAUUUUUUGUUGCUUACACGGCUUUUGGUGUUAGAUAACAGUAAGAAUAGUGUGGGAUUUAAAUAAGGCUAAGGGCAUUGGUUAAAGGUUUAAGUCAUGAACUUUUUCUGCAGCAAGUUGGACGUUGAACUUUUCUCCAAUUAUGUCAUUCAAGGAGUCGGCAUGCAAAUUAUGAUUUGUACUAAUUGGUCGUUAUGCUUUUCUCCAUUGUUUUUGUGUUUGGUGAUAUCUACUCACCGAAGUUUGUGUUGGAUGUUCCUUUCCUGAGUAUCAUACAUGGAUUGUUGCUCUGGUGAACUGUGGAGAUCACCAACUCAGACAGAUUUGAUAUCUUUUUAGACGGUUAAAGAUUUGAAAUUCCUAUUAUUAUUUGUUUUUAUUUCCUCAUCAUGUUGACCCCAUUUGACUUUUUGCACCAUUAAAGAAGCAGUACUUCAUUAUCAUUUGAUUAAUUUCCAUUGAUUGGUUUCCAAUUCAGUUUUUUAAACUUUACAACCUCAAAUUCAGUGAAGCUGUUAGGAGUUCUUGUCACAAACUCUAUACCUUGACUAAUGCAUGAAGUCUCUUCUAGAAACAGGUAAAAGAAAUGCUUUACACCAUUUGAAAUAUUCCAAAAGGGGAUUAAAAUAAAUGAUGAGUGCAUAUCAUAAGUCAACUAGUAAUGUUUUGGCUUGUCAAAGGAUUGGAAUUAUCCUUGCUGAACCGUGGGAGACAUUACUUGAUAUGCCUACCACUGUACUACCUUAUUAGUAAUUCUAGCCCUGAUUUCCAGGGAAGAAGUACCUUUUUUGAGGGCCUUCUUUUCUUCCUUUGGUAAAUCUGAAAGAUUCCUGAUGUACUGUGUCACUACUUUGUCUUUACAUCUUUGAAUUUACUUUCCCCCCAGUGUAUCAAUGCGAUGAGUCUUCUUCUCCUUCUCCUUUUUUUGUGGCCCCACUCUUAGAUGAAGAUUGCACUUAAAAAAAAAAAUAAAAAUUGCACAGGCUAUUUGACAUAAUUUUGGGAUGAAUUAGUCUGAAUUUGGUGUAUUAUGCGAACUAGAGUAAAGAAGACCUGUUUCUAACUUUGUGCCUUAUAUCAAAAUGUCAUAGAAUUGCUGAAUUUUAUCUAAAGCAGUCGCUCAAGGUGGCUUUGGAGCUUCAAGAAAUGAUAAUUAGAUUCUUGGCUUGACAUAUUAGAUGACAGUCCAAAGAUGGAGUUCUUUUCCCAUUAAGCUGAAAAUUGGAUAGAGGAAGUUAGAGAGAUCUUGAAUUGCUCGUGGACUCCUUGUACUUCUACUGUGGUUUGGGUUUGAUGGUUGGUUUUGGUAAUGCGAACAUGUUAUCUUUAGCUGCUUUUUCCUAAUUUCUCUAGUAUCUCCAUGUAACUUAAGGAACAAAAAAAAGCAUAUGAAUCCUCGCAAUCACUGAUGUACUGGUUCCUUUGUUAUCAAUCUCAGCAGAUAAACUAAACACAAUAGAAACGUAUCAAUCCCUUGCUGGUUUCUGAUUUCUAGUUUCUAGUUGAUUUGCAUUGGAGUAUUUGGUAGAUUAAAUAAGUGCUAAAUUCGUCUGAAGAGCUCUUUUCCCUGUUGAUGUUCCUCUGUUGUAGAUGGUGUUGAUCUUUUAGUAUUACUGCGCUUCUUUUGGGACACCUUCAGAAUUUAGAGUCUGAUGUACAUCUUUAUGGCUUAGGCACAAACCAUAUUAAGCAUAACGUCACAGCAUAAGUCUAAGUGCUUUUCUCUUGCUUAUAAAGCAUAAUUUUACAUGUCCACACAUUAAGUAGGAUUCUGGAACCCAACCCAGAGAGGUUUAUUUUAAGCGUUAACUUGUAACACCUGACUGCCACGCACUUCUACAGCACUAGGAUAUGGUAGUUAACAUAGGCCAAUUUUGAUUGCGAGUAUGUGCUUCAACUCGCCCAAUUUUCCAUGUUUGCAAAUUGCAGGUGAUUGAUGGACAAAAAUUACAGCUUUCCAGGGGUUUGGUUUGAGUACGUACAUUCAGAAGCUGUUGAUGACAGAGAUUGUUGAUGACAUCACUUGAAAAUCCAGUACUAGAAUGAUGCCUUGUUCUUGCCUCUGCUUGAUUUAACUUCCUCUAUUGAGCUGAUGUACCUCUUUAAAAGCUGUAGCUAUUUUAUCACACAAUUAAAUCAACAAAGGGGCCAACUUCCUCAUAUGAAAUGAGUGGAGUUCGUGGAAUAUUGUUCCAAACUUGUUGAAAGAAGCUUCAUAGUUUAUCGCAAGAUGAUCUCAAUAAAAGUUUGAAGCAGAGGGUUCCUGAGAUAGAGAAGGAAAAAAGAUGGAUGCCCUGAAAGAAUUAAUUUUUCAUUGAUGUUUCUGAAUCAAGAUCAUCUUUUGAUGCUGCCAGCGUGACGAGUGACCCUCACUGCCGCCGGAGCUGCUCCCUUUGCAAAGCUUCUGAUGAGUCCGAGUUUCAAUAGAUGAUUGAGCAUGGUCAAGGAGCUGCCGGGAUACUCGCUUCUAAGAUGUGCUCGCAGAGGACUGCUGAACCAUUUUAGUAAAAAGCUUUUCCAUCGAAAUGAGGACUGCUGAACCAUUGCUUUGGGAAGAAACUAUGGACUUCAAAGAUGCGCUCGCAGAGGUUGUACAACUAGUACUCGAGUUGAAGAAUGUGAGAGUCACGGAUAUGAAUAGCUUCCCCUAGCAGGGAAGAAAGGUAUGUUCUAGUCCCAGGUUAGAUGAACUUGCAAAUGUUACCGGAGGCGGCCUUCCUAACUGUAUACAUCUGGCAUGAUUGAACUAGUUGCUAAGAAGGCUAAUCUCUCAUAUGUUAAAAGAAAAGAUCGACAGAAUGUUUUUUCUAAUUUACCCCAUAUGUUCAUUGCAAUGACCGUUCAGAAACACGAAAUGCAUUUUCUGUGAGCUGGCAAAUGCACGAAAGAAAAGCGAUUGAUGAAUCUUCAGUUGGGCAUUUAAUAACUUGUGUAAUGGAGCAUUGUGCUCUAACAUAGAGUGAAUUCUUGAAACUGGUUACAGAGAGGAAAGAAAGAAAUGAGGAUAGAAACUAGCAAUUGCCUUGAUACAGACACAAAUUUCUAUUCAACAACAUGGGUGCUUCACCCGGAGAUUCAACCCAAUCUAACUUGAGUAAAUCUAAGUUAUAUAUUCUUCUAGUUACUGCUAUCACUAUGGUGGUUGUUAGUGUGGAUGGUGGCAUUGAUGUUAUUACUGCUGUGAUGGUGGUGGUUAUUGUUCCCAACUCUCCUACUACUACUGGUCUUGAGCUGUGAGAGCUCCAAUUGCGUUUUCAUGAAGAACUGCAUUCUCUGCAAUUCCAGCUCUUUGGCAAACUUCAUCCUCUGCUUUUCCAUGUCCACCAGCUGCUGCAGCUUCGAGCUCUCAGCUUGCUCGUAAGCUUCCCCAAAUUUAAGUAUAGCUCGAGUCAGCUCCCUCACUGAAUUCCCCCAAUUCUUCCCCACAACAACACUUGCUUUAUCUGCACCUCCCUCUCUCCCCCUGUUCGUUCCAGGCCCAGCAGGCUUUACUCCUCCUCCCAAAUUCAUCAGCUCCCGCUGAUUCCUCGGCCUCUUCCUUUCGUACGUUGCAGGUGGAAAAUCAUCAGCCGAGUCAGGCGAACCAUCGGGCUCGGACUCCUCAUCCGAAUCCACCGCAGGAGGAGGGGGAGGCCGUUUCCGGAACUGCUGCUUCUGCUUCUGAAGGUGCUGUUGUGGAAAUUUCUCUUGCUGCUGCCUCAGCUGAGGAGCUGAUCUAACUCCCAUCGGGAUUCCCAUAGGAACUACCCUUUGGCUUCCGGAGUAGGACGGCCCUGCCCCCGCGCCACCCCCGGAAGCCAGUACGGAGGAGUUAAGCUUAGCAGAAGGUCCAAUAAGCUGAUCAAGCCUCUCAAAGAAGGGCCACUUACUGGGGCCACCACCGGCGGCGAUCUUGGCCUUCUCCAGCUUGUACUUCUUCUUGACGGUAUCAAUCCGGUUCUUACACUGAAUAUCAGUUUUAGGGGCUUUGGUGUAGUCUUCGCGGCUGCUGACGAUAUCAGCGACAUCCUUCCAGUGCUUCUGCUUAAGAUUCCCCCGGCUGAGCUCUAGAUACCUUUCUCCCCAGGCGUCAAUUAGCACCCCGGUGGCCCCUUCGCUCCAGCAAUCCUCCCUCCCACCACCUCCACUAUUUCCAGUAGGCUUCGUCUGCUGCUGAUGUUGUUGUAUGGGUAACGCCAGAGUUAGCGUGUUCUGAGAAGGCGGAACAGCAGCCACCGUCACCGUUAUCCUGCCGUUGGGACGCGGUGACACCGGAGAUCCGGUACCUCCCGAUGGAUGUGACUGAGUUUCUUCGUCGUCUUCCAUGCCGGAGGUCGAAAUCUCGCAGCGAUCUAGAGGGAGAGAGAGAGAGAGAGAGAGAGAGAGUGUGUGUGUGUGUGUGGGCGAAGGCGUCAGAGGGAGGGGAACAAGUGCGUGACUGUGCGAGAGAGAGAGAGAGAGAGAAGGGAAAGGAGAAAGAGGGGGUUUGGUUAUUUAGGGCUUAUUGUAGGUUUUAGAGAGAGGUUGACCGGCGGAAAUUAAUGACCGGGGAGGGGGGACGUUGUUUUAAGGCUGACGACUUUGCAACGGAUGUAGGAGUAGGUUAAAAAUUGCAGGAAAAGAGACCGGGAACGGGGGAAGCAAAAAAAUUGCAAGCACGCAAAUUGGGCUUCUAUUUUUUUUUUUUAAAGUGUUUUGGGAUUUUAUCGGUUGACGGAAAAGAACGAGUUGGAAGGGGAGGAGGGUGACGGCGUCGGUAAAAUGAAUGAAGGAAGGGGGUGGGACACGUGGAGGGAGAAAAAGGGGAUGGUCCGAAUACUUGUUCGGAUGUUAUUGGGUUGGUUACUGGGAGACCGGUCAUCGGCGUGAUGAAAUGAUGCCUCAUCAGUCUCCUCCACAGCCAGCCCCAUCAUAGUCGUACUAUUAUUACUACUACGACGACCACUAGAGCCCUUCGCCUCCUCUCUUAGUCUUGGCAACUACUACUGCCGGCUGGCUUGGUGGACCUUUUCCCCUGUUUUUGUCUGCUUAUCUCUAUCCUCCCUCUGCCAUUUCUGAUUUUUUCCCCUUUUUUCCUUUCUUUUUCUUUUUUCUGAAGGCAGGCACGGCGUUAAUCGGUUGCAGGCACUUAAGCACUACUACUACUACUACUAAUACGCUUCUCUUUUUCUUUCACCAACUGGACUUUGCUUCUUCAUCUUUGUGUCCGUUUUCAGGAGAGAGUUGUUCUUGGUUGGUGGAAGCUGUCUGUGGAGAAUACUUGGAAGCCAAAGGGCUCUCUCUCUCUCUCUCUCUAUACAAGACUAGAACAACUACAAAUGGUAAAAUCCCGGCAACUGAUGAUACCAGCGGCCAUUCCGAUGAAUUCGAUUAAUCAAUCAAGGGUCUGUAGGGAAAAGUGGAUAGGUUCGCUACAUCAGCUUUCAUUGAGCACCAAAAUCUAAAUGCAAGCCAAUUCAAUGCUAGUACCAGACUCCUCUCGCUAUAAAUCCUUACCAUCUACUCACGUACCACUAUUUGCUUACUAGCAAUUAUUAUUAUUAUUACUACUAUAUAUUUUUGGCCUAAGGACACCUUAAUUUCACUCAAAUUCACGUGCUCGAGUAUCAUAAUAAAUUCACACAUUAUAUGAUUCUUCAAAAAAAUUCAGACGGGUGCGUAGUGUAUUCGUUUGGUUCGGUGGUGGUUUUGUCCCCAUCAGUUCUCCGUAGGUUUAGUUGAGCCUCCCUCUAGUUAGAUUAGGAUAGAAUAGGAGUAUGGAUGAUAAUUGAUUAAAAAAAAAAAAAAAAACCUGCCAAGAAACAAUUGAGGAGAAAAUUAUUGGCCGGACUCGAACCCUCUCACCGUUCUGUCUAAACGGAGCUUAACGGCUUACCUGGCGGCAACGGCCCCGGUGCUCUGCUACCGCGUGUGCUGAUGUUGUAGCAUGGCUUGGUACCACAAAUUGGUGAGCAAAAAUUGGGGACGAUAAUUAAUCUCGCUUACACGUGUUGUUGACGAUAGUGAAUUUGGAUACAUAAACAUUACUUAGAAUUUAAAUUUUACCAUGCAACGUCUAUCCAAUUUUGCUAGCAGCGUAUAAAAUAUUAAUCUUUAAUAUUUUUUAUUGAGAAAAAUAAAAAGAAGCCAGUGUAAACUCUUUCUUCUUCUUCUUCUUUUUUCGCGCAUUCCUUGGGAUAAAAAUAGUAAAGCAAUCAAUUCGACAUUGUGAAAAUGCAAGUUGGUUUAAGACUGAACAAUUCUCGAAUGGGGUUUGAUGAUGAAGUGCAAGCUGUCGAAGGGCCAAACGAUUCAAGUAUCAACAUUCCGUUCAAUAUUAAUUUGGACCUCACAAAUACAUAGAAGGAGAUUGAGCAUUGCAUGUUGCUCCAAGCUGAAGAAGAAGGGACUUAAUAGAUCCGCCCCAUAGAUUGGGCCGCAGCGCGCUUCCGUGAAGCGUUUCAUUUCAAUUUUCUUAGUUCAAUCUCUGCCCACAAUCCCUUCACGGAUUCGAGUCAAAUAACUAAGGUUUUUUCUCUCUAAUUGGCGUUCUAUUAAUUAGGAUAUUUUAUUUAGUUACUUAAUUGUUGGUUAUUAGAAAUAAAUGGCUAGCUGUAUAAGUUACUUGGACCACUAGAUUAGUAAUUCUAAUGGAAUAAAUGAUGUAAUUCAUGUUUGAUUCGAAUUUAGACUAGUUUAGAUAUCUUGAUUAUAAAUAACUUUACUCUAACCUUGUAAUAGUGGUUCGUUAGACAAAUUUCGGCAAAUAAUGAGAGCUUUCUCUUGGUUUUAUUGAAAACUUUUCUCCAAUACUUUAGAAUUAAUUUUAAGCAUUUAAAUCAACAUGUUCGCAAAUGCGAAAAUUAGAAAGGUAUUUAGUACAAACUUGAGUAUCAACAUCGAGAUUUGAACUUGUGAAAUCGGAGUUUCGUUUUCAGUGGCCGGAGGAGGGUUCGUGUUAGGGUUGGAGCGAAAUCAAUUGAUUUUUUUUUCUAAAAAGUGCAUUUGUAAAAUGGGAUGCUGAUAUUAGCGGUGGUCGCACAGAGCGACUGUCUGAAGCCGAAGGGGAUGAAAACGUGGCGGUGCUGGCUUUUGGGGAUCAGACGAUGGCGAUGAUGAUGUCAGCAGGAGUCCAGAAACAAAAGAGGGCGGACACCUUCUCACGGGGUGUCCCAAUCAUCAGCUAGUAAAAUGGAUAAAUCAAAGAAGCAGUGGCGUGGAUGUGUUGGUGGCUUAGCAGACGUUCAUUUUUAAAGGUAGUACUGCAUUCCUCAGGUGAGAGUAAUGGGCUCAUGGCUUUGGGCUUCAAGUUUAAAAGCCCUUGCAAAAGCUGAGAGAAAUCCAAGAGUCUUCCCCACCAUUUCCACUCCGAUUGUUCUAACAUCACAAAGAACAGGGUAGUUUGAUUUCAUAUGCAAGUACAACGGCUCUAGUACGUUUUCUGGGUCCGGAAGAAAUUCAUUCAUGUUCAGCCUUAACGUACGUUAAUAUUUGCAAUUAAACCUUCUCUCUCUUUUUUUUUUUUUAACUCAGAAUAUACCUCGAUUCGAACUCUUAGGAUACGAGCCGGCACAUCAAACCGGUGAAAUGUGCCACAGCCCCACGCAGCGAUUCCAGACGAGUCACGGGAGUUCAAAUCCAAGAUAACAUUCGAACCCGUGACCACAAGGAUCUUUAAGACCCGCUUACCGCUGAAUUGUUCAGCCACGUGAGAGCAAUUAAACCUUCUUCGUUGACCGAAGCUGUGUGUAUGUUUGCUUCGUGUUACUGGAAGGCAUACAGCUUUCUUCCACGGCCUCAUUGGCAAAAAUGUUUAGGAUCCCAGUGACAAAGACAGGACAGGACAUGCAUGCGUGCGUCACGCUUUAAUUUCUUCGUGAUAUAACUCUCACUUUCAGUGUUGAAAGUAGCUAUAUAUAGAACAAAUUUUUAUGAAUCCGACGACGCGUAACAUGUAAGUGCAGUGAUUUGAUCCUUACAUUUUCUUUUGCCGAUCGCUAAAGAGCAGACAUUCUCUGGUGACGGCCAGGUCAAAUUUAAUACGUACGCAUCAAUCUAGCAAAGUUAUUGAUGAUAACUUUGACAAAUCUAAAUGAUAGAAGAAGUUUAACCAUUGCAUUUCGAGACUCUCUCUCGAUCGAAGAUAUUGCAAUUGCAGCAGCUGCCAUCACCAGAAAGUGAAUAAGCUCAGCUUGGGUCGAACCUUAAUUCUUUUAAAAUUGGGAAGCUUUCCAUUUUUUUUUCUUUUAUUUUGAUUCAACCUAAAUAUCGGGUGACAUCAAAAUAUGCUCGUCUCUAGAUCGAUAACACCCAUCCAAAGUGUUUGUAAAACAGGCAGAUAGCUGCAUCCGUAUCAUCCGGUGCAGAAAUUUCAUUGAUUAGCGAGCACAACUCAAACAAGAUACAUGCGUAACUAGAGCCAUGCUCUAUGUACAGAAAAGUCAACAAAAACACUAGUAGAAAACCAACCAACCGGUCCAACCCCCUCGCUCUAACCAUGCUGCUGUCCUAUAUUUACAAUCAUAUAUACACACACACACACCAUGAGAUAGAGAUAUGAUAAAAGAAACUUUUGGUUUAUUUUAGUAGUAUAUACUUUGGGGGGACGUAUGUACAAAAAGGAAUUUGCCUUGGCGGGUGUAGCUGGCAUCUAAUUUCCCAGACAAAAAUGGUCACCUCUCGCUUCUCUAUUAACGAUCCAAAGCGCUUAGUACAAUCCUGCAGUUGUAUCAUUACACCACGCGUGAGAAUCCUGAAACCUUACAGGUAAUUACAUUAGCAUACUGGAAAAACGUUUAGCCACCCCCCCCCCCCUCUUUUUCCUUUUUUUUUUUUCCUCAAAUGAAUCCAGCUUUGAUGUUGAUUGCAAUACAGAUAAAUUGAUACCAGAAAAUUAUUAUCCCAUUUCUUUAACCGCACUAAAGAAUUAUCACUAUAUUAGCAUCGUGUGAUCGAUAUUCGAUCGUACAACAGAAGAAGACAAAAUAUACCUCUCCGUGUACUCCUUUUUUUGUUGUUUUUUUUUGUUGGGGGGGGGGGGAGGGGGGGGAAGGAGGAGGGAGUUUGAAAAAAUAACAAAAUUGUUGCAACGAGAUCAUGCAUAACUAAAGUCAAAUGAAAAACCAAAAAGGUGACGGAGAAGAAAAUCACCAAUCGUAGCCCGCCGGGCUUUUUGGCUCCCCUGGUUGUAAGGCUGCCGAAUUGGAUUUUCUCCUCGUCAACUUCUUAAAAUUUCCACCAUGACCAGGAGCAGUCGCUACACCACACCCAACCGGAGGCCCAAAAAAAAAAAAGAAAAGAAAAGAAAUGAAGAGAAGCAGCAGAAAGGUUUCAAGACGAGAACAACACAAAUCGUUUAAAGAAAAACACCUCUGAAUCCCGAGUCGCAUGCAAAAGACUUACGUGAAAGUGGAGAAGUUGGGGUGGUAGAAGCAGAAGCAGCGGGAGAAGAAGGGACGGAGCCGGAAUCAGGGGUAGCAGAGGCAUAUCGCAUGGUAGGAGAGUUGCCACGGAGGAUAGUAAUGCUCCGUGAAACAGGGAUCAGAUGAUCAUCCACUGAUCCCAUCAUCAUGGUAGCUGGAGCAGCUGGUGCAGAUGGACGAGCGCCAGAAAAGGAAUUGUACUUGCGGAGUUUGCCAAGCCCGGAUUCAGGUGUUGGCCCGGCAAGCGUUUCGUCCCAGAGCUUGUGGAGGAAACCCAUGUGCUUUUACGGAUAUUUUUAGUACUGUUUCUUUUGUAACAACCGAAAUAGGGUGAUGCUAUGUCCUGGGUUUAGCAGCACUAAUACGUUGGUGACACCAAACGAUAUACGACUGUUACAAAGAGGAAAGAAAAUGGUGUGUUUUCUUUAAAUUUUUUUUCUUUUAUGCUUAAAAGCUAAAAGCAGGAAGGAACUGUUCGGAAGUUCUAGGCUUCUUAUAGAAGAGAAGAGAAGAGAAGAGAAGAGGAGGAGAGCGUAACAGAGAAAGUUGGAUAAGAUUGGCUGGUAUGGCUUUGGGUAAGUGGGUGGCUCCGGCUAAUAUGGCUUGGUUUGAAGCCAUUGAUUUCUUAAUUAAUGGAGGUCUGAGCUCCAAUGUGAAGCGGAAUUAGGUACGGUAGCUAAUUAUCAAGUCGAGUGAUAAAAUUCAGGCUCUCCCCUUACCUUUAAUAACAAAUGAUAAUAAUAAUAAGAUUCUCUGUCCAUCAUUCAAAUCUCAACGGCUUCGAGGGAAUCAAUAAUACUUUGUUCAUGGCUUCUAUUAGGUAGGACAUAAAUGUGUGGUCGGUGCCCAUAAUAUUUAUGAACGUUUAAAAUCACAAGUUCAUAUAUUUUAUUGUUCUUUAUCAUAUUUUUCUUUUGAAGCCCAACCUCAGAAGAGUGUAAUCCACACAAACAAAGGCAAUUAAAACUUGUAGAACCAAAAAAAAAAAAUAUAUAUAUAUAUAUAUCAAAAAAUUAUAGUAGGAAAUAAAUUUCAUAAAAUCAAUAUAUAUGUGGAGCCAAAUUACACACAUAAAAUUAUGUGUGAAAUUUUUUAAUAAAAUAUUAAUUCCUAAAUAAUAAAUUAUCGCAACUUGAUUCCAAUACAAUUACUGAUACUUUAACUUAAUUAGCACGUUGCCAUAUAAUAAUAUGAAAUUUUUUUUUUUUUUUUUGCAUCUUGAGUUAAUAUGCAAACUUAAUUGCAGCGAAAAUAGAAUGACUAGUGUGAAAAUUAAUAAGAGAUUACUUAAAUUAGACGUUAGAUAGACUUCUUGCAUGUGAAGCAUAAGUGCGAGAUUAGUGACACCAAUCAUUGGUUUAAUUUUUAAGCAUUUGUGCAUGUUCGCAUUAGACUUUCAUAUUCAAUAACAGAAAUAGGCUGCUAGUAGCAAAAAUGUAAAAUAUGAUGGACUGGGUAAGAAAUAAGACAUAGUGAAAAUUUUAGUAGCACAAGUGAGUAUUGAGGGAAAUUCAGCUGUUUAGCCGCUAGUGGAGCUAUGUGGAAUGAGUCAGUUCGAAGCCACGAGUAGUGUAGUGUUAGUGUACUAGGUGUAGUGUAGUGAGAUGAGAAUCGAGAUGAGAGGUAAAAAGCAGGCGGGGAUGGUUCCUUGAGUCAUUCAUUCAACCGAUUUUCGGAGCAGAAAAAGAUGGAGACAGGGGACGGUGACUCGGUCAUAUCCUUCCAAAUUCCACAGGCUGGCCCCGCCAUUUUCUUUCUUCCAUCUUUUUUAACUUCUUCACUGCAACACGCCAAUCUCGUCAUCACUCAUCAUCAGAUAAGGUUGGGUUCGGUUCAAGCGUAAAUUACCUAUUUUUCCUUGAGAAAUUUGAGCUCCAUGGGACCCGGCCCAUGCUUGAUGGUCACUUCGGAGAUAGUAACGUACUACUCUAUCGCCCUUUCCCUCCCCGUUUUUCUCUAUCUCACAUCGAUUGUGAGUGACGUGUACGUCCUACUUAAGAUCUUCAAUAUAACCUGAAAAUCGAUAUGCCUUUUGAAUUGGACUGUGAAUUUUUCAUAGAUAAUAUGUGCGUGUGUUGUUUACGAUUGUUGGUGAGUACUACUCUAGUUCAUUCACAAGGAUUUGUGCAUCCUCAAUCAAUUUCCCUUUCCUUCGACCUCUUUUUGUUUGUCAUGCGAGUAAAGUUUUCCAAGUACUCGCUUUAAAAUAAGUCACUAGUACUCGCAUCAUUUAUUUUACGUUUGCGAUUAAUCUUGUUUGAAUUGUUUUGAUUUUCUUACGAGAUUGAAGUUUUUCUCUCCCAAUGUAGUUCUUUUUAUUUUCAUGGAUUUCAAAGUCGAAACCUCGUGAUCAAUGGACGUAAGCUCCUUCCAUUUGCACUAACAUUUGAAAAAAAAAAAAAAAGGUUUCCUAAAUACGUACUGCUAAACACGGAUCAAGAUCAAGGUAUCACUCUUUAUUCACGCAUUUAGAUGCGAUAAAGAGUUUGAUUACACGCCAUUUUUUCUCUCCUGCUUUCUCUUCUUCAAAUAAUCACCCUCGAUUGCAUCUCUGCAUUUUGUGACAAAAUCAAAGCGCAUGUCCCCUAGUUGUUUUUUUUAUUAUUAUUAUUUUAACAAGCAAACAAAUAUAUAGGGCGUACGCAUGGACGUGCGAACUAUUAACAACUUCGAUUUGCAGAAUCAUUUUGAAGCAAUUGAGACGGAUCCCAUGUUCCAGUUAACAAAAAGGUCUUCAUUCCCUAUGGUCUCGUGCAUUGCCAUUCCCCAUUUGUGUGUGCGUAAAGGAUGGUAUAGAUCAGCUAUUAAAAGGGUGAGCCAAACGGGUUAUUAUAGCAAGAAUCAGCACAGUCGGUGAGACGUGAUUUCUUCGGGGUGAUUUCUUCGGUGGCCGGCCCAAAUCUAAAUUAUCCCAAGUUUAUAUUCCGCCAUCCUCUACUUAGGCUAUGAGUGUACCAAUCAGUCCUGGCAAAACAUAAAGACUCGACUUCUGGAAGGUAGUCCGACUUCAAUCGUACAACUGUCGUGUUUUGUCCUCAAAUGUGCAACGUGAAACCUAAUAUCAUAGCGAAUUUGACUGCAUUGAACCAAAUUUGAUAGCCCAUUUUGCAGAAAUCCCAAUUCCCAACUCAACUUUGUCGAGACGCUGCUCUGCUGCUGCCUGUAAGCUGUAACCAAUUGAUUGCAUUGAACAUUUGAACAUUCGUGCCCUCCCAUUGUCUUUUUACGGAUCGUUGUCCCCCCAAAUCUCCAUCAAUGCUUCCAAUUAUUGCUUUUAGGGAGGCGAAACUUUUCUUUCUUUUCUUUUUUCUACCGCUUUAUCUUCUUAGAGAAAUUGCUACUGAAGCAGGAAGCCUGAAUCAACCACCCCUACUGAUAUUAUGACUUGACCAUUUCUGGAAACUUAAUCAAUCACCAUCUACUGCCAUCAUUUUAUAAAGGGGAUUGAUUACCACCAGCAUUUUGUGACUCUUGCUCCCUCCUGAUCAGCGUAAUUUCUGUUAGUAUUUGGUUGGUAAAUGUCCACGGCACGCAACAAGCCUUUGAACCUUGUUGCAGGAAAACUGGCAAAGCUGGAUGAGGAGGUGAUUUUUGGUUGGUACCUAGACCGACCUGGAUCAGUCCUCUCUAAGAUGAAAUGAGGUGAACUCCUGUGUCCGAAGUGAACCUCGGUGUCCGAAGUGAGUGGCGGGGCUUCUCCCCUGGGAUCACUCCGACGAUCAAGUUAGUAUGAGAACGAGAAUAAUGAGAAUAUGAGUUAAUGAACAGUGUAGGCUUACUUGUUGGGAGUGUGUCUGGGGUAUUUAUAGAGGGAGAGUAGAGGACAGAGCGGAGGGCUUAUGCUGGUGGGACCCACCCUCUGGUCAUUACGGCUCUGUCCCGUGUCAGGAGGUUUGACUCUGACACUGUAGCUGCCUGAGCAUGAUGACGGGGUGUAUUGUGCAGGUGCCAUUAAGUGCUUCCAGUGCUUUUCAGAUAAAGCACUGGUCCUGGGUGAUGUCAGGUGGUUUGACAUCAUCAGCGUGCAGCUGAGGUGGGGGUGCCGAGGUCGGCUACACAGUAGGCUAGGGAAACGGCCGAGGCCGAGCUCAGGGGUGAUGCCCGGGACACGGAUGAGCUCUGAUGAGGGACGAGGUGAGUUCACCUCGGCCACUCGGGAUGGCCGAGGUGAGCAUCCUCAAUAAGCCCCCCAAGCCUCGGAUGCUCCGAGCAAGGGAGGUGCCGAGGCUUCCUUGUGCUGAAGUCCUGAAUAGUCGAGGUCCCGAAACUGCCCCGGAAGAUGCGGAGACGUGACACGUGGGCGAGUCAUUUGACAGGACGUGGAGGGUCGGUUGACACGCAACCGUCAUGUCGUGAAGUAGUGGGACGUUUCGUGAUGAUGGGGUGUCAGUCGAAAGGACGGGUCAUUAAUGAAGAGAGAGAGUGCCACGGCGUUUUGAAUUCGAAUGUGGUCGUCUUUUCGUAUUCUUGUCACCUCUUCGGAUUCUAGCCAUCCCCUAUAAAUAGGGGGUCCUUUUCACCACAUGGCCCAUCAUUUUCUUCUUCUGCCCGCGACUUGCAAAAUUUGCGAGCGUUGCCGAGAUCAAUCCUGCCAGCCGAAGUCACAGCCGAAGUCAUCCACUUCGUCCAGUUCGGUAUACAAUAGUAAGUAUCCCUUUUCCUUCUUAUCUUGUCUUUCACACAUGGCUAAAACCGCGAAGACCCGUAAGGAAACCGUGUCACCGAACUACCAGGCCGAGGUGAGGCCAGAUCCUGAAGAAGAAGCGACGACGUCCAGCUCGGAGGGGUCGACACCGAGUUCAGAGGGGUCGACCGAGGUGAGGGUCGGAGAGACAGCCUCAGAGUUGGAGUCGUCCGAGAUGAGUGAGGGUGGUUCCGAGGUCGAAUACAAUACCGAGCUCGGGACCGAGAUACCCCAUGACGAGGGUGUUCCGGGGCCAGUUGCUCCAGUGGACGCAGCCGACAUCGACUUCGGCCAGAUGCCGAAGUUUAGGAGUCGCGUAGGAAGAGAUAGGGCCGUGAAGGUGGUAGACAAGUACCCCUUCCGGCCGUGGUACGAAAUUUUGCCGCCCGAGGUGGAUGACACAGCCGCGAAACCCCCCUUUGGCAUGGUGGCCGUCUACGUUCAACAGCUGGAGGCCGGGCUGAGGAUGCCGACGUCGAGGUUCCUCCGGGACUUACUGCGUCACUUCCAGGUGAGAAUCACCCAACUCACCCCGAAUGCGAUCCGCAUCAUUGUGGGGUUUGAAAUGCUGUGCCGACAUCAGGAGGUGACUCCCUCCGUCGAUCUCUUCCGCCGAUGCUACACCCUCAAGGCGCACGCGACGGAUAAGGGAUGGUUUUAUGUUGGCAACCGGAACAAUGCCAUCCCGAAGUUGGUGAUCGGUGCUCCGAGCUCGAUCAAGAACUGAAAGCGCGACUACUUCUUCGUGUCCGGAGUGGACUUUCCGAGGGGUUUUUGGUGGAGGCCAAUUAAGGCGAAGGCCGACCCCUCUGCGGGAGAUGCCGAAGAGGAGUCCUUCCAGAAGCUGAUGAAGUCGGGACUUCGGCUGUUCAGCCAUGACUACCCCGAAGCCGUGCUCGUGGAUGGGGGGAUAAGUCGAGCCGUGAUCAAUACUGCCAAAGCUCCCUUCUUUUCCACUGAACUUAAGAAGCCUUGUAAUUUUUCUUUCGUAGCUUUGCUUUCACUUCGGUUAAGGCAUAUGAUAAUAUUUGCUUCUUGUGCAGUGACUAAACUGUCCGACCUCGUCGUCUCUGGCUCGUCCGAAGUGGCCAAGAGGCCGAAGAGGAAGGGUACUGACGAGACAUCGGCACUUCCGCCGAAGAAGAAGAAAGCACAAGGACAGGCUGCCAAGACCCCGGCGGCUACAAGCACUCCCACCAAGGUCGGCCAGAGCAGCUCGGCCACUGCGGCUACUGGGUCCACUUCGUCCGUGCCAGAGAGAGUGCCUCUCGGAGUCGUUACGGCACUCCCACCUCCUCAGGGCCGAGGCAAGCAGCUGAAGGCCCCGGCCAAUCCAGUCUCGGGGACUUCGCUAUGGAAUCGUUUCCAUAGCCCCCCAGUGUUUCCCGGGGAGGAGAAGACGCACUCCGGCAAUCAUUGGUGUCCGAACUGGAAAGUUUCGGUCAACGACCGGUGCCAGCAUCCUCGAGUUGCACAGGAGCUAGUAAUGCACUCCACUCUGCCAAGGGAUUUGGAGUUCAUGAAAAAACUGAGCCCGGCCGAGCUGGUUCAAAGUCUGAUGGUGACCACGGCUUCCAACUCAGCUUUUGCGGCCGAGAUGGCUCACAGAUACUGUGCUCUAGUCGAGGAGCAGGACACCGGCAAGCUGCAGAUUCAGAUCUCCAAGUUGGAGAAACAACUGGCGGUGUCCGAAUCCGAGAAGUCGGACCUUCAGAGGCAACUUCAAGAGGCUGAAGCUAAGGGUGAGGAGGCCGAGGCUACGAUGAAUAGUCUUAGAUCAGCCCUCGAGGAGGAGCAGAAAAGGGGAGACGAAGUGAAGAAGUCCCACGCACAAGCUCUCGAGGGUGCUGGAGCCUCGGCUGUGGACGCGUUUCGGAGGUCCGAUGCCUUCAUCAAGGACCUCGGCCAACUGCUUACGCCUAACUUCAUGUUUGGCUUCACAUCGGCCAUUGACGAGGCCGCAGCUCACCUCUCCUCCGAAGCCUUGGAGUCUUUGAAAAGUCAUGCCAGCUACAAUGAAAACUCCAAGGAGUUAUGUGAUCGGAUGGCCGAAGGCAUUCAGGCAGGAAGGAACUUGGCCGAAGUCCAAGUCGAGUUCAACAAGUGGCUGUCCGAACUCGACGACGUGUUCGAGGAGGUGGAAGUAGAGGAAGCUGAGGGAGACGAAGUCGGGGGGGACGAAGUCGGAGGGGACAUCGGCAAAGAACCUGGAGAUGAACACCCCGGCGGAAAAGAGGUCGAAGAGAAGGCUGCCCAGGAGGGAGCCAAGACCGGGGAUGGAGCCGAGAAGGGGGUCUAGGCUCAGGCUUUAGGGGGUGACCGAGGUGGAGAGUGCUUAGUAGCAUUCGGACCUCAGCCUUGUAUUUUUGUAGCACUCUUUUCUAUUGAAUGAAAGCCUUUUUCUUCUCAUCUCAGCGUUUUUUGUUUCUUGCUUUGAUUUCAUCCCUUGUUUGUCCCCCUUAUUUUUUAAUAACGGAUGCUGGGCAUCAUAUUGUUGAAAAAUAACUAAAUAGCUAAAGUCAACUUUGAUGAAAUAACUGAAUGAAGUCACAACUUCAAGCAUAAUACAACCUAAGGUUCUCGGCGUGCCAAGAUCUCGGCACUAAUGAGCCAUCUCGGUAACUCAGUUUACAAUACCCCUUAGGGUCAGAUUCCACAAUUCGGUAAGGGCCUUCCCAUUUCGGGCAUAAUUUCCCUUGCGGUUCAGCUCGGCUGACUGAAUUUUUUCUGAGAAUUAGGUCUCCAGGACGGAAUCUACGAUGUCUGACACGGGCAUUGUAAUAGUGUGCCAGUGUGUUCUUGUAUGAAGCUAUCCGGGCUGAGGCGAGGUCCCUUCGUUCUUCGACGAGGUCGAGGUCCAGCAACCUCUCUUCGUCGUUCACCUCGGCGGCAUAGGCUGCCAGCCGAGGGCUGGGGGUAAGGAUCUCAGCCGGGAUGACAGCCUCGGCACCGUAGGUCAGGGAGAAUGGGGUCUCUUGCGUCGCUGACCUCGGCGUGGUCCGAUACGACCACAAGACACUGGGGAGUUCCUCCACCCAAGAUGACCCACCUCGGUGUAGUCGGGUCCUGAGACCAUGCAGGAGAGUUCGGUUGAAGUUUUCUGCUUGACCAUUGACCUGAGGGUGGCCUACCGAAGUGAAGUGUUGUUUGAUGUCGAGGUUUUCGCACCAAGUCUUGAACGGGUUCUCUGCAAAUUGUCUCCCAUUGUCCGAAAUGAUGAUCUGAGGUAUGCCGAAGCGGCAGACAAUGCAUUUCCAAAAGAACUUUUGAAUGGUCAGCCCCGAAAUGGUCCGAAGUGGCUCGGCCUCUACCCACUUAGUGAAGUAGUCCACAGCGGUCACUAGGAAGGUAUAAUCCCCGACGGUUUUAGGGAAAGGACCUAUGAUGUCUGUCCCCUAUUGCUCAAACGGCCAGGGUGAAGUGAUGGGGACCAUGAAGUUGGAAGGCUGGUGGUGCUCGGGUGCGUGGAAUUGGCAGGAAGGGCAGCCGAGAACGAGGUCCUGGGAGUCUUGCCGAAGUGACGGCCAGAAAUAUCCAAGGAGCAUAGUCUUCUUGGCUAACAUCCUGUGGCCGACGUGAGCUCCGCACAGGCCUUCGUGGAUCUCGUGGAGGACGUGACGUCUGGCCUCGGGAGUGACACACCUCAGCCAUGGGCCGAGAUAAGAGCGUUUGUAUAGUUCUCCAUCGCGGAGAGCGUACCGAGCCGCCUUGCGUUGUAUUCUUCUCGACUCGGCUCGGUCUUCAGGGAGUGUUCCCUGACUCAAGAAGAGGAUGAACGGGGUCAUCCAGGUAUCUUCGGAGUGCACGGGGCAGGCCACCUCUCCCACAUAUCCGGGUUCACUCAGAACUUCCACUAAAACCGUUUUGUUGAGGUCAGAGAAUGAAGUGGAGGCCAGCCGGGAUAAGGCGUCGGCUCGCUUAUUCUGGGACCGGGGGAUUCUUUGGAUUUCGAAUGACUUGAAGUAUGCGGUGAGCUGGUGAACUUUGGAGAGAUACCUUUGCAUGGUCUCAUCCUUAGCCUCGUAUUCACCGAAAACUUGGCGUACCACGAGUUGGGAGUCACUGCGGACGUGGAUUUGCUGGGCGCCGAGCUUGCGGGCUAGCUGGAGUCCAGCGAUUAGAGCCUCGUACUCGGCUUCAUUGUUGGUGGCCGGGAAGUCAAAACGGAGGGCGUAUGAGCACACCUCCCCCUGAGGUCCUUCCAGGAGCAGUCCGGCUCCCCAGCCUUCUCCAUUAGAGGAUCCAUCGACAUACAAUGUCCACAAGGAUGAGAUGGACACCUCGGCUAAGGCUGAGGUGGACUCCGGACCGUCCGUGAAGGUGAGCUCAGCAAGGAAGUCAGCCAAAGCUUGAGCUUUUAUGGCGGUGCGUGGCUCGUAGGACAAGUCAUAUUCUCCCAAUUCGACAGCCCACUUGGUGAGGCGACCAGAAGCUUCGGGUCGCACCAAUAUUUGCCGAAUGGGCUGGUCAGUCCGGACCGAGAUAGGAUGGGCUAAGAAGUAGGGUUUCAACCGCCGAGCGGCGUGGACUAGUCCCAGCACCAGUUUUUCCACUUGAGCAUAUCGAGUCUCCGGCCCUCGGAGAGCUCGGCUGACGUAGUAGACUGGCACUUGGGUGCCCUCAUCCCGGAUAAGAACAGCACUGACAGCCUCGUCGGCUGCGGAGAGGUAGAGGUAGAGCUUCUUCUCGGGCCGAGGUGAAGCGAGAGUUGGGAGGUGAUGCAAGUACUGUUUCAGCUGGUCGAAAGCAGCCUGACACUCCUCAGUCCAGGCGAACUGGUCAGCCUUUUUUAGCACCUUAAAGAAGGGUAGAGCUUUCUUGGCGGAUUGGGACAGGAAGCGAUUCAGCGCGGCCAGGCGUCCAUUCAAUCUUUGGACUUCUCGGACGUUCCGAGGUGGGGACAUAUCUUGAAUGGCCUUGACCUUGUCGGGAUUGGUCUCGAUUCCCCGGCGGGAAACCAAAUACCCCAAAAAUUUUCCGGAGGUGAAGCCGAAAACGCACUUCUUUGGAUUCAAUUUCAUCCUCGAAUCCCGCAGGACGCCGAAGACUUCCCUCAAAUCAGAUAGGAAGGCCGAAGUGGCCUGGCUCUUGACAAGGAUGUCGUCCACGUAGGCCUCCACAUUGCGGCCGAUCUGGUUUUUGAAGAGGCGAUUGAUCAAUCUCUGGUAGGUCGCCCCGGCGUUCUUUAGCCCGAAUGGCAUGGUAGUAUAACAAUAAGUACCUUGGUCGGUGUAGAACGCCGUUUUCUCUUGGUUCUCUUCACUCAUUCCUAUUUGAUGAUACCCUUUGAAGGCAUCUAGGAAGCAGAGGAUUUCAUACCCCAUCGCCGAGUCGACGAGGGCGUCUAUCCUUGGCAGGGGAUAGCAAUCUUUGGGGCAGGCCUUGUUGAGGUCGGUGAAGUCUACACACAUUCUCCAUCCACCGGUGUCCUUUUUGACCAUAACUGGGUUGGACAGCCAGGUGGGAUAUUGGACCUCGUGAAUCAUCUUGGCCGGCAAGAGCUUAUCGACCUCAUCCGAUAUGGCCUUGCUACGCUCGGGGCCGAAGUGUCUCCGUUUCUGCCGCACAGGUCGUGCCUGUGGGUUGACGUUAAGUUGAUGAAUCAUGAGCUCGGGUGGCACUCCGACCACUUCAUCUGCGGACCACGCGAAGAUGUCUCGGUGGUCCUUGAUCAGGGAGAUCAUUUCUUCUUUCAGGGGUGAAGGGAGUCCGGCCCCUACUUGGACCACUUGGUCAGGCUUGGCUUCGUCCAAGACCACUUGUUCCACCUCGUCCCCGGGCUCAAGCCUAUUGGGCUCUCCUGCCUUCUGAGGGUCGAUGCAGUCUAUGGAGAGAACAGCCGGCCUCUUUUCUUCUGACCUCGGCGGGGGCUGAGGUCCGACUGCAGCUUGGAUGGUGGCGAGGUAGCAUUCUCGGGCGGCGCCCACGUCGCUGCUCACCUCGGCCACACCCUCUGGUGUUGGAAACUUGAAACUCAGGUGGUAGGUGGAAUAUACGGUUCUCAAGGCAUUGAGCGUGGGCCGGCCUAUCAGCAUGUUGUAAGGAGAGUCCGCUUUGACCACCGCAAAGCUGACAGGCACAGUUCGGCAACGGGGAUGACGCCCGAUAGUCACCAUUAAAUUCACCAUGCCCUCCGGGUGGACGACGUGUCCCCCGAAGCCGACAAGGGGAGUUCUGACCGGAGUGAGUUGCUCCCGGGUCAACUUCAAACUCUCGAAAGUUCGGUAGUAAAUGACGUCUACCGAGCUUCCGGGGUCAACGUAGACCGUUUUAACUAUGUAGUUAUUUGUGAGGACCUCAAUCACUAGGGCCUCGUGAUUGCUGGAAGCGGCGGGGACAGGGUCACGGGGACCAUAGGUUAUCACCUCGGACAGCCUCGAGCUCGGCUCGGCCACAUCCAUGCCGGCUUGGCGGUAGGUCCGCUUUCGGGAGUUCUGGCUGUCUCCUCCCGUGGGGCCACCUGAGAUGGUGUUGAUCACCCCAACUAUGUUUGGGCCGUAGUCUGGUGAUCCGUCACGUGGAGGCCUCUGAUCCCCUUGUAGUUCUCAGGACCUCGGCAAUUAAGCUUGGUGUCCCGCCUGUCCUCUCGGCGAGGACCUCGGCUCUCCCGGUGGGAGGCACUUCGGUUGAAGCUUCCGUCUUUGCGGAUGAACUGCUUCAGGUAUCCUUGUCGGAUCAGGUUUUCGAUCUCUCGCUUCAGAUCGUUGCAAUCUUCAGUCUCGUGCCCAACGUCUCGGUGGUAGGCGCAGUAGAGGUUGGAGUUCCUCUAAUCUCUCCUCCCAGGGAUCUCAGGAGGUGUUCGGCCGAGGUGAUUUUGCCUCAUCACCGCCAAGACGUGAGACCGACUAGAAUUGAGCGGGGUCAGCUCGGCGUCCGAGGUUGACGAUCUCCCUUUUACUAUUCGAUCAAAGACACUCCGGCGGUCUCGGAGUUGGUUUGAAGUGCCACUUGGGCCGGGUUCACCUCGGCUGGUGUCUCUCCUCCUCCGGGGAUCUUGCCCCGUACGAGAGGCUUGGGCCUCUCGCUUCAUGCGGUUUACAUCCUCACUUCGGAUUCCCUGGUCCACUCUGUCCCAGAGUUCCCGAAGUGUACGGGGGUAAUCCCGAUGGAUUUCGGUAUUAAAAGUCCCUGCCACCAACCCGUUGGUGAAGGCGGCGAGGGUUACUUGCUCGUUCUGAUCAGGUAUCUGCACAUUCUCAUCAUUGAACCUUUGAGCAUACGAGCGAAGGGACUCGCCCUGACCCUGUUGCAGGUUCAAGAGGUAAGCUGAAGUCUUGGUGAUUGGUCGAGAUGAUACAAAGCGGUGGAUGAACCGGUCUAUCAGCUCGUCCAAAGAGGAAAUGCUCCCUGGUUCCAGACUUCAGAACCACUUCCGGGCAGUUUCAUGUAGGAAGAUGGGGAAAGCUCGGCAGAUCACAGCGUCGGGGACGCAGUAGAGUCGGAAGGCAGAGAUGAAGGCGCGGAGGUGAUCCUCGGGGUCACCUCGGCCGUCAUAGGUGGGCAAGUUUGGAAGUUUGAAGUUCGGGGGUACCAUCUCCCCAUUGAUGUCAUCAGUAAAGGGCGGAGCCCUCAUGUAGUCAGAAGCUAGGCCCCCGGGGCGCCGAGGUGGGUCCUCAGCUCGUUUCCCCAGCAGUCCCCGAGAAAACGCCCGGGAGAUGGAGGCAAGUUUAGAGGUCGCCUUGGAGGAGGCGCGUCUGGAGGUACUCCGAGAGAGUCGCCCCUCAUCGGAGUCUUCACCUAAAAGUACCUCAGGGGACUUCGUCGGCCUUCUCUUGGAAGACUCGGCCUUUUCUUUCCCCUGUCUUUUGAGGUACCUUCCUAACUCCUCAAAAAUGGUAGGGUUGUGUGAUACGAACUCGGCCAUCUUGGCGAUGGCCUCCUCGUUGUUAGGCUGGGUCCUCGGGGACCCUUGCUCUUCAGAAAUGCGAUCUUGCUGGGCUCCCGAGGUCUGCCCAGCCCCAGUUGAGGGAACUCUUCCGCUUCUAGAACGCGUGGAUCUCAUUUUUAGUAGUGAUCUCGUUCCCACAGACGGCGCCAAUUGAGGAGGUGAUUUUUGGUUGGUAUCUAGACCGACCUGGAUCAGUCCUCUCUAAGAUGAAAUGAGGUGAACUCCUGUGUCCGAAGUGAACCUCGGUGUCCGAAGUGAGUGGCGGGGCUUCUCCCCUGGGAUCACUCCGACGAUCAAGUUAGUAUGAGAACGAGAAUAAUGAGAAUAUGAGUUAAUGAACAGUGUAGUCUUACUUGUUGGGAGUGUGUCUGGGGUAUUUAUAGAGGGAGAGUAGAGGACAGAGCGGAGGGCUUAUGCUGGUGGGACCCACCCUCUGGUCAUUACGGCUCUGUCCCGUGUCAGGAGGUCUGACUCUGACACUGUAGCUGCCUGAGCAUGAUGACGGGGUGUAUUGUGCAGGUGCCAUUAAGUGCUUCCAGUGCUUUUCAGAUAAAGCACUGGUCCUGGGUGAUGUCAGGUGGUUUGGCAUCAUCAGCGUGCAGCUGAGGUGGGGGUGCCGAGGUCGGCUACACAGUAGGCUAGGGAAACGGCCGAGGCCGAGCUCAGGGGUGAUGCCCGGGACACGGAUGAGCUUUGAUGAGGGACGAGGUGAGUUCACCUCGGCCACUCGGGAUGGCCGAGAUGAGCAUCCUCACUGGAAAUUUGACAAAACUGCAAGUAAUGUUUAAUCUUUUGGGACUUAUUAAUACUCGGUUUUUUUUUUUGUCAACCGAUAAAAUGUACUAUUACUCAUAAAUUGCUGGUAUCAUCCGCCGAACACGAACAGUAGCGGUACAAGCCGACGUCUGUCGUCAUAUGCGCAGCCAGAAGUUGCUCGCACAUGCACUUUUUUUUUUUUUGGGAGGCUGCUGCUGCUGAACCUCUGGAAACUUAGGGUGAAUUGUGUGUUGCAUUUACUUUGCAAAUUGCAUGGACGCCGUCUCCUCUCAUGAAUAAAUUCAUAAAAAACUAAAAAAAAAAAAGAGAACAACGGAGGGAUGGUCAUCGCCACUCUGUUAUGGUUUGUCAUCGGACCGAUAAGGUUGUGGGGUGCCUUCCUUUUGUACGACUAGUGGCAGUGGCGACUGAAGCGGCAGUUGGUCAAGUCAGUUUAGUUCCGCUACAGUAGGACAGUUCCGCAACUUGGCUUUGAUUACCCACCUGUUCAGUUCCUUGUGGGGCCUUCACUUGCAACUUCUUAAAUAAUUAUUUACCAUCCUAAUCUCUAAGUCUCAUCCCAUUAUACACUAAUACCACCACCGGCGGCGGCUAAUGUUAUUAAUGGUUUGUUUGGAUAGAGACUUAUUUGUCAAAAUUUAUUUGCUUACAUCAUCAUUACAAUUUUCAAUACACCUUUUUAUCUUCCCAAUUACCUUUUUAUCUCGCAUACAUCACAUCACAAAAAGUGUUACAGUAAAAAUAUCUCAAAUAAUUUACAAUCCAAACAGAGCUGCCAAACUAUUAGAUCAGAGCCCAACUGAUAGAAUCGGUCGAACCGUUUUUAAAAAUUUGUUGAAAUCAAUAUGAUGUUAUAGUUAUUUUAUAUUUUUAUAAGUUUCAAAAAUAUUGAAAUUAAGUUCUUGAGUAUAUUUGGUCAAUUAUAAAAAAAAAUGUUUCAAAAAUAUUAGACUAGCAAUUAAAUAUACACCUAAUGAUUAUAUAUAAAAAUGUAAAUUCAAGACUAAAAUAUGUCCAUUCACCAAAACUGCUUGAAAAACUAAUAAAUUAAAAUAAAUUAAUGCAAGUUAAAAUCACUGAUGCUAAAUUAAUAAGAUCAUAGGAACGAAAACAUAUUCAUUUAAAGAUCAUUCAUAAAAGCGAGUGAUUUUGAUACUUACACUAAGUGAGUGACAUUUUCUUAUUCCUAUUAAUAAAUGAAUGUGUUACAAUUUAGAUAAUUCAAAUUAUAUUUGAAAGAGAGAAGAAAGAAAAAUUUGAGAACAAGAUCAAUUAGUCGAACUGAAAUCACUAAUUUAACCAAUUUUUGACUGUUUUAACUGAUUUUUAACCAAAACGAUUUUGUGUUACAAAUCAACUUGAAAAGAAAGCCAAUUCACAAUCAGACCAAUAUCGAACCAACCGAUCUGAUUCGAGUCUAGCAACACUGGCAGCAGGCGCAAAAAGACUCUUGAAGAUGUAAAUAUGCCACUACUUGAUGCACGUAAGGCAAAAAAACGAUAUUAUAAAUUGAGAGAAAUGUUUCUUGAAGAACGUUGUGGCAUUCAAGAAAUUAGACGACAGCUCAAUGUGAGUAAGAUAAUACUCGUAACGACGAAAUUUCGAUCUCCUCUCCCCGCUAACAGAGCCAGAAGAACGUUUUAAAUUCCUUUUCCUUUUUGGUGACCAGUAGGUUGGAAUUUUACUUCCUCGGCUACGAAUUUGCAUUUCAAAGCAGUAGCCGCGGAUCUUCUCUCAUUUCAAAUUUUUUUUUUUUUUUUGCAAUGCUGAUUGCUUGAAAAUAGAAACUGAAGGCCACCCCUACCAUGACAUCGGAAUCCUAGACACCGCCGCACCCGACGCCCGCUCUGUGAAACUCUUCAACACUACAGACCUGAACUGAAUUACGGGGGAUUGAUCGGAGGAAUACACUGAAAAAUGGGGAGGAUCACCGAUUUUUUACAGGUUUUCCAAUGAAAAAAACCAAUGCCCGUAUGGCCUACAAACAUAGGCAGUGAAGUGACUCAUCUGCCGCCUCGUUAUGAAGGAAUACAAAUACUACCAGCUAAGUACUACCCAUCCGGAAUUAGAGCAUCAUUAUUACAAGGCUACAACUUUCUUGUCACACCGUCACCGGGUGAAAACUGAAACACCUUUUGACUCCUGCCUCAUCUCUCCAGUGUGGGAUGAAACUUUCGAAUUUCCACACCUCUCCUGCUAUUAAAUGCAUAUAAUCUUACGCUCCUAGGCCAAUUUUCCAUUCAUGUGGUCAUAAAUCCAGCUGUAAAAAUCAUGCACAAACUUUGAACCAAUUCCAGCAUUAGGUGAAAUUAUCGUCAACAUCUAGAAGAAAUUACUAGGAUACUUGUUGAAGGAGACGUCAUCACCAAAACAAACUUUCUGCUUCCUGCCGUUUCUCCUACUGCCUCCAAUACUUCCCCGCGUUCUUGCCCCGGUUCCUCUUCCCAUCCUGGUUUCUCCCUGAUGUUCCACCUGUCUUUAGACAUCGUUAAUUUAGCUAGAAGAUGUCAGAUUUGCAAUAGGAAACGGAUACUCAGGAAAGACUAGUUGAGACGCAGAUAAAAACAACAUACCCCUAUACAAAAUCCAUUGAACUGAGUACCCUCCACCUGAGAACUACUGGGGCUCAUUUCUGAGGAAUUUCUCUUGUUUUUAGCAUUGUAAGUCUCACUGCACGAUGCAAAUGGUGGGGACGAACGGGUAGAAGGCGUCGCACUUUGCGAAGAACAGGAAGCAAAUGCCUCGACAUCACUUUGGAACAUCUCCUCAAACAGCUCUUGCAAUUCCUCAAAGCUCUCUUCCUGAUUUUCCUGUCAAUUCAAGCACUACAUUUGAACACCGUACAACUCCUUGGCAAAAACUUGACAAGGAAUCCUCAAACCAAACCUCUGAUCCACCAACCAGCAGGCUUUCAUGAGAUAAACUUGACAACAUAUAACCAUUAAACGCGGCACUUUGUUGGUAACUAUCCAGCCAGAAAAAAAGAGGGGAAAAUGUAUGAAAAAGUUUGUCUCGCCUUGUAUAACUCGCUGUUUGUAUGGUUUAAGAAGAGUAAAAGAGACCCAACAAAGAAAACUGAAGUUCAAAUCCCUAGCUCCAUCCAAUCCCCUUCCCCCCCAAGACAACAAUGGAAAACAAGAAUCUUCUAUUCAAAGCUACACCACGAAUACAUAUACAUAAAAUAAAAUAAAAACUACUACAAGGGAACAGCAACUCACCUUGGACUUGUUUUGGCUCAUCAUGGCCGCCAUUUCGUUGAGAAAGUCUCCCAUUCCCUGCAUUGCAUUAUUGGAAAAUAUAUGAACUUCAGCCACAAAAGAAAGACCAAUAUAUAAUUGCCAAACACAAUUGCGCAGUUUCCAUGGAACCGUUAAAUAAGUUCAGCAGAUUCAUUUGAAAAAACAACUGUCCUGAACUAGUCUCAAGAUUUGGUGUCGACUUGAUUUUUUUUUUCUUUCAAAAGAAGGAGGAAGAAGAUUUCUUGACCAUGAAAAUCCAUAAUAUCAUUUAUUUAGGUAUCCCAAUUGGAGUACUUAUUCAAGACAAUCAAAUAUUCUUUAAAUUAAACACCCUGAACCCACUCAAAAUUUCUUUGGUAGACAAAUCUGCUAUCGUAUCGAGGACAAUAAAAUGAUGAAUUGGGAUUAGUUUUGUCAUCCGCAUUGAAGCGUCUAUACAACUUCUGUGGAGCUUAUUGAAGGAGCGUGUCCACACGUGCCAAAGAGAUUAUUACUACUACUACUACAGAAUGCAGUAGCAGUUGCUAAUAAUUUUAUAAAAGAAAAGGCACUGCUAAAUGCGGAUGGAGUAUAAUAAAUACAAAGAGGAAAAAUGUAACGAAAGAAAGGGGGGACGUACAUUUUCGUCGUCCUCAUCGUCACAGUCGUAAACUCCUACGUCGUACAGAAACCUUUUGUUGGCGUCCGAAAGUACUGUCAGGUGUCAACCCAAGAAUCUCGUGAGUCCAGCAUAUAUAUAUAUAACUAAGAUAAGAAUUAUAGGACUACUUACCUUAGCAUUAUGAUUUAUGACUCCUAACAACACCGAUUAUAUGUGUUGAUAAAUAAACAAAUAUGACAGCUGAAUAUACCAUUGAACAAACAUAUACUGGCAGUACAAAUUUUAGGGGGAAGAAAAAAAAAGAAAAAGAAAAGAGAGAGCGAUAGCGUCCUACCAGAAUAGGCUUCUUGAAUUGCCUGAAAUUUCUUCUUGGCCUCCUCCACGCGCUUCGGAUUCCCGGAUGCCGAGCAACGAUCUGGAUGCCAUUUCUAUAUCAAAAACCAGAUUCCCCAUUUCAGGAAAAGGGAAAAAAUUCAGCCCAAAAUUUAUUCUGGUCAAGACAUUUGAAGCAGAACAAUCAUCAUCUUCAAUGCUUUCGCACCAUCCGCAUCAGCCUAACAAUUUUUUUGAAAAGUCCAAAAAUUUUCUAACUUUGCGCUCGGAUACCACUCAUCACCCAAUUCAGUUUUGGAAAAAAUACUCGAAGAUCAAAAUACUAGCUCCUUCGCCCUCGCCACCCCACUCCACCUAAAGAAUAAAAUAAAACAGAGACGCCUUCUUUACACGCCUAUGGCAUUGAUGGACAAUCGAGAAUCUGUUUAUCGUAAUUUAUUUCUGAUUUGGUUAUUUAAAUUUACAGAAUUAAGAGGUUCAAACGCUGACCAGUGCGAGUUUCUUGUAAGCAUUCUUGAGCUCUGCAGCACUGCAUUCCUUCUUCAGCCCCAAAACAGCAUAAAAAUCACUUCUUUUAUCAUCUGCAGCAGCCAUUUCCGGACACCCAAACAUACGCAAAAACUGAGACAAAAGAGACCUGCCCCCAACCCCCCACAAGCCACAAUCCCUCCUCUGCUGUUUCUUGUCGACAAAUUUUAUAAAUUUUCUGGGCAAAUGUAUGACCCUUAAAACUCAGCGCAAAGAUUAGGAUAUCUUUUCACGUAAUUAUGGGUUGUUUGGGCUUUUUGAAUGUAACAGGGAGCCAUAGCAUUGCUGAGAGAGAGAAGAGGAGAGGAGAACAGAGCCCUGGUUGAUUUGGGGUGGCGUUGGGGGGCGAGAUGAACUGUGCGAUACAACUGUCUCUCGAGUCAGUCAGGCAGCCGCCUAUUCCUUCACGCUAAGGCAAACGAAGGCUCCAGAAAAGGGUUUAUUUAUAUAUGGAGUUAGGCUGCUAGGUGGGGAGAUUAAAAAACCUUAAAAGCUUUAACAAAGAACAAGGAAAAAAAGGCAAGGUAAGGAAUUGUGUAACAUUAAUUAAUUAUAGUUGUUUGUUCGUGUGACCUGGAUGAGGAUGGUCUCGGUUGAACGGCUAUGAUUUGAUUAGGAGGACAGAUAUUUUUAUCGUGCUCUGCCUCCAGAAAGUUCUUAAUUAAUUAUAGUUUUUUUUUUUGGUUUGGAUGGCUACUGAUAUACUACUACUAAAGCUACUGGUGAGGGGUGACAGACAGGUGAGUGGGGGAGGAGGAGGAUGACAAAUUAAAGGGAUGCAAACGAUGGUGGCCCAGAGGCCCUUUUCAGUUUUCAUCCGCUAUGUUGCAGUGUAUUGGGUGGGGGCUGUUUUACGUUAAACACGAAAAGGCAGUAGGCUCCACAAACCCCAAAUAUACUAAUAUGCAUGUAUUAACCUAUUGAUUGAUGACAAUCUGCAUGUUUACGUAUGUUCUCAGCUGAGGUAGUGGGGCAUGGCAGGGGAUCCGAGUCCGACACGAAAGAUAAUAAUACUACCAGGAUUAGUCAGUGGCGACGAUCAACCGCCAAGAUUGAUUGAUGGGUGCUGACGAUCAACGUUGUUAAAGAUGAGAUGAUAUGAUUAGGUGCACGAAAUACCAGAGAUGAAAAUGUGGUUGGUUCGAGCGUAAGUUCAUGAACUAAAAAAGUUUUUUUUUUUUCUUCUUUUUCCUAAAAAGGCGGAAGUUCAUGAAGGGCACAGUUGCGCUCUAAGGGUCCGUUUGUUUCGGGUGAAAAUAUUUUUCAAGAAAAUAUUUUCCUAAUUUUCCAUGUUUUGUUGCACAAAAGUUACUGAAAAUAUUUUUUUAUGUAAAAUAUUUUCACUCAUCUUAUGGAAAACAACUUUCCUUCCAAAAUUAUUGAAGUUGUUUUUCGAAAUGCAUGCAUCCCGCCUGUAGUAUAUUCCAAACUUACUGAAAACAUCUUGUAGUAUGUUCUUUUUUUUUUUUUUGUGUAAACAGGAGGACUCGAAUUGAAAAUCUCUUCCUUACACUCCCUCCCCCGUACCACCCAACCAUCUCCCUAGUAUAUUCAAAAUAAAAAAAAAACAUCAUCCUACUCAUCCUAUGCUAAUAAUUAAUUAUGUAUAAUAGGGACAUUCUUUUCUAGAGAAAUUUUUAGCAGUGAGAGUGCAAGAUAUAUGUCACAAUAAGCAUUGCAUGCGAUUGAUAUUUGACACUAAAUGGCCAGCAAUUUGUUUAUUGCUUAAAGAGAUAUUUUUUUAUUCAUAUAUACAUUUUUCCAAGAUUUUUUAAAGUUAAACAAUGAGAUAAAUUUUCUUAUUUUGCAUGGGAAGAAGUACGUAGUUAUAAUGUGUAGAAAGUAAAACUAGAGAUAAAAGUGAAAAUAUUUCAAAAGUUAAACAAACACCAGAAAAAUGAAGUAAGAAAAUAUUUUCAAUAAUCUAACCAAACACCUGAAAAUGAUGAAAGGGAAAUGAUUUUCAUGGAAAAUUACUUCCACGAAAAAUAUUUUCCCAAGAAAAACAUUUUACUUCCAACCAAACAGACCCUAAAUGUGUGCAUGUUUUUUUUUUUUUUUUUUAAUAAAAAUAAAAGAAAGUGAAACAAAAAAAGAAAAAAUGACGAAUAAGCCAACAGGUUAAACGCCAAGAGUACCUUACCUCCAACUGACUGCGUGCGUGUUUUUAGAAAAAGUGGAGGUCAUGACUCACAGCUGCUACUUCAUCGAAGCCACCUGCUGAACAGACAAAAGCUUAUAGCCGGCGACUGCGUACGCCAAUGUGGUCUUAAACUAAUUCCACCACGAAGACGACAAAAAAACCAUAAAUAUGUAAGUGCAGAUUUAUAGCCGACAAAAAAAAAAAAAAAAGCAAGUGGCGGACGAGCAGCUGAUGGAAAGAAAAUGCUAAUUAAGUUGGGGCACGAUAUCACGCAACUGGGCAAGAAGGAUUCAUCUCUUCUCCCAAUCCCCAAUUUUCGUAUCGUACCUACCGUGCGUUGUCCCCUUCAUCCAACCUGCUCAUUUUGUUCCUCCAUUUUCAAGCAGGAAGUGGAUGCAACUAUCCAAUUAGUAAAAAGAGUCAAGGAAAACAAAUAAAAUAAAAAAAUUUUUUUUUAAAAAAAAAAAAGGGGAAAAAAUUGAAUUGAACCGGGACGGCGACAAACAAGGAUGAACGGCCCUGCCCUUGCUUAAUGCUUAGUUGAUUAGGUUGGAUUUGAGAACCCAUGGUGGGACCGGGCGGGUUUGCACCUACCUAGAAUUAGAUUCAGCCUAGAAUGAAAAAGGCAAAGGACUUUUUUUGGUUGUUUGGUUGGCUGAUCUCUGCUGUUCCGUCGUUCCAUGACAGCUGAGCGGAGAGCCCUCAAGGGGGCCCCACACACACAUAUUAUUGUUUAAGAUGAGAAAUGCCGGCGUGAUUUUCAGCCAGCCCAAAAAGUGUUGGAUUCUCACGCUGCUAUGCAUAUUUGCAAAAUGUGCAAUAAUAAUUAAAAAAAAAAAAAAAAAAAAAGUCGAGCAGCAUUUAUCAUCAUUCCGCCUUUUCUUCUUUGGAUGAAAUCAAUGUAGCCAAAGAUAUUUUUUUCUCAGGUGUCAAAUAUGCUCCACUACAGCCACAAACAAAACGUCCACUCUCCUUAACACAUCAAAAUCAAAAUCAAAAUCAAAAUCAAAAUUGCUGCUGCUGCUGCUACCAGUGUGUACCCAUUGAUUGAUCAUAUGCUCACGCAACAACAGAACAGCGAAACUUAAAAAAGAUCUUCAUCCGACGAAGAGUCACCAAAAGAGCAGAGAUACUCCACAAUUGAUCAGCAUCAUUCCAGCGAGAGAGUAUCCUGCAGAACCAAUGAAAUGAAAAAAAAAAAAAAAAAAAAUUCCUUCAGCUAAUGCAGCCUAAAUGUUACAACGUUGCACCCUGCCUAAUGUACUCAAAGUCGCUCGGAUUCGAUUCUAAUGUUCGCAGCAUUUGUCAUUGCAAUCGCACGCUCCUAUCUGCUGCUGCUCAAGAAGUCCUGUUCUGGACUUAUAUUGUUUUAAGUAGGGUAACUCUUAAAGAUGAAAACCCCUUUACAGACUUGAUUGGCAAAUAAUAACGAACCAUUCACGUAGAGUAGCAACUCAGAAGAUAGUGCGGCCACAAGACAUGAUGGCAUCUUUUAUUGUGUUUCUGUGUGUAUCAUUCCCAUCACUAGUAUUCAUCAAAGCUAUAACAAAAGAAACGGAAAAAAAGAAGAAGAAGAAGAAGCUCUGCGACAAAAUUUGUUGUGAAUAGUGAGCAGAAUACUAAGCUGUGUUUUGUUAAAAGACAAACAGGAUCAUCCAUAUACACAAGAGUCUCAUAUUU